GCUCCCGUAGCUCAAUGGAUAGAGUCCCUGACUUCGAAUCAGUAGGUUGCGCGUUCGAGUCGCGCCGGGAGCGCCU
rnacentral:tRNA from 1 species